rnacentral:misc_RNA from 1 species
UGAUAAGAUAGGCGGUAGGAUAAGGAAAGAGGAAUUCGGCGGAGUAGCGGCGGAACUCGGUGCCGGUUGGAUCGCCGGUGUCGGCGGUAAACAAUCUAAUCCUGUAUGGGAACUUGCUCUUCAGUCUAAUCUCCGAACAUGCUUCUCCGAUUACAGUAAUGCUCGUUACAAUAUCUACGAUCACAGUGGGAAGAUUUUUCCGAGUGGAAUAGCGGCGGACUCGUAUAAGAAAG